rnacentral:lncRNA from 1 species
GCCCAUCUUUUUUUUUUUUUUUUGUGAUAGAUGAUUAAGUUGUCUUUUCAUCUUUAUUUUUAUUGACAAAAAUGAUUUCAUUAAUUAAUAGAGAAGAGAUAAAAGAAAAUAAGAUCAGAAAUCCCAAUUCAAAAGAACAAGGAGAUAAGAUGUGUAGGUAAGAUAAAUUCUUAUUAGUUUCUUUCUCAUAACUAUUAUUUGAAUUCACAUCGAAAAGGUUAAUCAUGGUUUCCCUAUAUAUGUAUACACACACAUUCUAGUAUUCUACAAGGUGGGUAAUUCUGCACCUUUUUUUUUUUUUUUUUAAUGAAAAAUGCACCAAAUAUUACUGCACUACCACAAUAUUACUGGGUUAUUGUAAUUUUCGAUGCAUUGUGGAUGCUUAGUAGUUUAGUUUGCCUUCACAACAUGCAGACAAAUCUUAAGGAUGACUACAUUAAUUUUUUUUCAAAGAUAUACAUGUUUAUUUAAAAGUGUUUUUGUGAAAUUUAUUUUGAAAGAAGCACCAUGUACAUACUUUUUGUAAAAACCACUUUUAAGGGAUUUUCUAAGAUCAACUUGAAUUUUUAAAAGGGAACUUUAACGAAAAGUGUCCGGUACUGUUCACUUUAAUGGAAAAACCACAUUUUUACACUAAAAAGUCAAUCUUAGUACUAUUCGUCCCUUUAUUUUGUCUUUAUUAUUAAAGCUCAAAGUUUUUAAACCAUUUUCAUUAAUUUUUUUUUAAUAAAAAUUAUUUCAAAAACACUUUCAAACUAAUUUAUAAUAAAAGAAGGCCACGUCCGAUGACCAAACCAAAUAAAACUUUUCAAGAGUCAAAUAGUUUUGGUCAAAUCCAUAUCAUAUAUCUCCAGGACAGAUAGCAUUGACUUUAUCUAGUAAUUGUUGGGAAAUAUAGAGGAAAAUAUUUUAGAGAUUUGAUAUGAUUUAAUUAGGGAUUUGAUAUGAUAUGAUUUGAUUUGGUAUAGGUUUUCUUGUCUUGUGGACAUAUGAUCGUUUUGAUUUAUUUUCUAGUAUUGUUGCUUUAUAAUCUUAUAAAUACUUUCUUAUAGAGAAUAAUAAAGUAAUGAAAUUGUAUUUGAAAAUUGUGAGAUUGUAGAGAAUUCUAAAUGUUUCCUAAACUUUUAUUUUUAACUUGGUAUCAAAACAGAGUUAGAUUUUUAGUUGAACUUUGUUGUAAGUGCUUUCCUGUUGAUGCAUGAAGCUGACUUUCUUCGUGCACCCACAAGCUAUGAACUUGAGAGUGAAGAUUAUUUAUGAAUGUUAGAAGAGAAAUAGAAGUUAAAGUAUUGUUGUUGCCAUGAAGAAGGAAAAAAAUUGUUUUCUAGCUUCCUUAAGGAAGGAAAAAAAAACAAGAAUAAUGAAAAAAUUGCAGGAAAAAGAUAUUGGUGGUUGGGGCUUCUGAAAAGAGGCAUUAAUUUCAGUUGGGUUUUUGAAAAGAUUAUCGUUUAUUCCAACUGGACUUUUGAAAAGAGAAGUUUGUUCUAACAUAUCAAAAGAUUUAUUUACUGUUUUUUUUGUAAAAAGACGUUGGUUCUAAUUGGGUUUUUGAAAAGAUUAGCGUUAGUUCCACGGAUUACGAUUUGUUAGUUGGGCUUUCGAAAAUAAUUGUUUGUUUUAGUUGGGUUUUCCAAAAGAUUGGCGCUAGUUAUAGCUGGGCAUUCGAGCAGAGGUGUUAGUUUAGAUAGAUUGUGAUAAGCUGAGCUUUCAAAAAGAUUGGCGCUAGUUCCACCUGGGUAUUAAAAAGAGAUGUUGGUUCCAACAGAUUGUGAUUAGCUGAGCUUACAAAAAAACUUGUGUUAGUUUCAGCAUAUCAUUGAAGAUUUUAUGCACGUGUGGCUCACUUAAUGCAUGAUUCCACGUGAAGGGGGUGUUGAAUUUACUAAGUUUCAAAUUAGAUCUUUUUUUCUUCUUGGCAAACUCAUGAUUCCUAGUCAUGAGUUUGAGUGGGGGUGUUGAAAAAUAAUAAAAUAUAAAGGAAAGUAUGUUAGAGAUUUAAUAUGAUUUAAUUAGGAAUUUGAUAUGAUAUGAUUUGACUUGAUUGGGUAUAAGGAUUGUUUUGAUUUAUUCUCCUUUAUAAUUUUAUAAAUACGUUCUUAUAGAGAAUAAUAAAAUAAUGAAGUUGUAUUUAAAAAUUGUGAGAUUGUAGAGAAUUCUAAAUUUAUCCUAAGCUUUUAUUUUCAACUGUAAUAUCCGAAAUGUGUAAGUGAAUUCAAGUUGAAUUGAAUUUGACUGAACAAACUAUCUUAAUUCUCGGGAAAAACAAACAAACUAUCUUAUUAGGUAAGCUUUCGUGAGAUUUAAAAAACAGAAAGUAACCAUCUGGAUAAGGGGAGCUUCUUUACGAAAUAGUAGUUUGCGUCUAUAUAUAUAUAAAUAUAUGCCCGUCCAUCAUCAUCAUCAAUCAGAUAGUAACCAUGGCUAUCAAUAUUUUUAAUUUUCUUGUUUGUUUCUCUAUUGCUUCCUUUGUCAUUUCUUCCAAUGCCAGAAGAGUUCUAGACUCGAAAAAUGUAGACGGUAACAAUGGCGGUAGCAAUUUCACUCAUGUAUGUGAUCCUUCAAGGUUUUCCGACCUUGGCUUGGAUGUGUCAACCUUUGGCUUCUGCGACUCCAAAUUGUCGUAUGACGAUAGGGCCAAGGAUUUGGUAGAUAGGAUGACAUUGGCAGAGAAAGUGAGGCAACUAGGAAAUAGUGCAAAGGGGGUUCCGAGGUUGGGGUUGCCUAAGUAUGAGUGGUGGUCUGAGGCACUCCAUGGUGUGUCGAAUGUUGGUCCCGGGACUUAUUUCGAUGAUCUUAUUCCGGGUGCAACAAGCUUUCCCACUGUUAUUCUUACAACCGCAGCAUUCAACGAGUCAUUGUGGAAGCAAAUUGGUCAGGUAUACAUUAUCAUCACUACAUUUUUGGUUGUAAAAGAUGACAUGAAAAGCCAUGGAAGUUACUUUUCACUAACAAAAAAAUGCUCAAAGUUACUUUUCGUUUGCUUGUCCUAAAUGGUUUUUGUUCCUUAUGAAUAUUUAGGCUGUUUCAACAGAAGCAAGAGCCAUGUACAAUCUAGGAAGAGCCGGAUUGACAUAUUGGAGUCCCAACGUUAAUGUCGUGAGGGAUCCAAGGUGGGGAAGAGCCACGGAAACACCCGGUGAAGACCCUUACGUUGUUGGCGUUUAUGCCUCUAACUACGUCAGAGGCUUGCAGGAUGUUAAGGGCACAGAGAAUGCCACAGAUUUGAACUCUAGACCUCUAAAAGUUUCCUCAUGCUGCAAGCAUUAUGCCGCCUACGAUGUAGACAACUGGCUCGGUGUCGAUCGUUACCAUUUUGAUGCGAGGGUAAGUCUAUAAUAUAUGUUAGAUAAUAAACCACAUGAGUUUGUUUACACAUUAAUAACUCAUGUGUCUUCUAGCAUUUUUCAUUUAAAACGAAGUUUCAUCAUGUCAAAUUAAGUUCAUUUUCCUAUUUUCCUUUUUCUUAUGAAAGGUGACAGAGCAAGAUAUGGCGGAAACUUUCCUAAAACCGUUCGAGAUGUGUAUUAAGGAUGGUGAUGUAAGCAGUGUAAUGUGCUCUUAUAACCGUGUUAACGGCAUCCCCACUUGUGCUGAUCCGAAGCUCUUGAAAGAAACCAUUAGAGGAGAUUGGGAUCUUCAUGGGUACGUAUACUAAUCACCUUUAAAAUUUUCCGCUAGUCUUCGUGCAGGAAUUUAAUUUUUUUUAUUUUUAUUUUUAUGUCUUGCAGAUAUAUAGUCUCGGAUUGUGACUCUCUUGAAGUUAUGGUGAACGGCCACAAAUGGCUCGGCGACACCAAGGAGGAUGCUGCUGCACAAGCUUUGAAAGCAGGCUAGUACUCCUUACAAAAUUAACUUAUUGAACCGUUUCUGUUUAGGAAUACUUAUGUUCUUGCUAUUUCGUCCUUAAUUACUAGGUUUGAUUAAUUAAGUUCCAAGUUAAUUACUUUAGGAAUGGAUUUGGACUGUGGAGUCUACUACACAAACUUCACUCAGAAUUCGGUGAGGCAAGGGAAAGUGAAGGAGGUAGAAAUCGACCGGUCACUCAAGAACCUUUAUGUGGUGCUUAUGAGGCUAGGUUUCUUCGAUGGGAAUCCCACUUUCAAGUCUCUCGGCAAGAAGGAUGUGUGCUCCAAACAACAUAUUGAAUUAGCAACAGAAGCGGCAAGAGAAGGAAUCGUUUUAUUGAAGAAUGUCAAUGAAACUUUGCCGUUGAAAUCUAAGAAAAUAAAAAAACUAGCCGUCGUUGGGCCUCAUGCCAAUGCUACAGCAGCAAUGAUUGGAAACUAUGCAGGUAUUGAAUCUAAACAUACAAUUUCAAUUAAGUUGUACAUCUUUAACAUGAUAUGCUCUUCAACUAAACAUACCGUUCAAUUUUGUGUUCAGGUAUUCCUUGUCAAUUCACUUCACCUCUCGAUGCAUUUUCAUCCUACGGAGAAGUCAAGUAUGGAAUGGGAUGUGAUGGAGUUGCAUGUGCAAAUGAUAGUCUGAUAUUCCCUGCCAUGAAAGCCGCAAAGCAUGCAGAUGCAACCAUAAUUUUUGCUGGUUUGGACUUAUCAGUUGAGGCAGAGAGCUUGGAUAGGGUGGAUCUGCUUCUUCCUGGCUACCAAACCCUGUUUAUCAAUCAGGUCGCUCAAGUCUCCAAGGGUCCGGUAAUUCUUGUAAUUAUGUCUGCUGGUGGUGUUGAUAUCAGUUUUGCCAAACAAAAUGAUAACAUCAAUGCAAUAUUGUGGGCUGGGUACCCGGGGGAGGAAGGCGGCCAUGCCAUUGCAGAUGUUGUUUUUGGACAUUACAAUCCUGGUACGUAACGCUAAAAGAAUCACAUUUUUAGUCCACUUUGAUGAUAAUGUUGCAUCAUUUAGCAUAAUUUUUGCCUAAAUGUAUACUUAGUGGGAAAAGGCUUUGUUGUUGUUGUUGUUGUUGUAUAUCUUAGCUUUUAACUUGCUCACUACGAUAUAAUGUAAAUGUUUACUAUGUUACAGGAGGAAGAUUGCCUCUUACAUGGUACGAAGCUGGUUAUGUGGAUAUGCUACCCAUGACAUCCAUGAAAUUGAGGCCAAUCGAUAGCCUAGGCUAUCCCGGUCGUACAUACAAAUUCUACAAUGGCUCCACAGUUUACCCAUUCGGAUAUGGCCUUAGCUACACCCAGUUCAACUACACCCUGCGAUCUGCAGAGAGAUCUCUGGAUAUAAAGUUGAGAAAGUCCCAACACUGCCGUGACAUAGAGUACAAGGAUAAUGAAUACAAGCCACCUUGCCCUUCAGUCCUUAUCGACGACUUGGAAUGCAACCAUGAAUUUGGGUUCGGGAUUGAAGUAAAAAAUGUGGGUAAGAGAGAUGGAAGUGAAGUCAUCAUCGUUUACUCAAAACCACCUAUUGGCAUCGCCGCUUCACAUACCAAGCAGGUGAUUGGGUUUAAGAGGGUCUUUGUGAAAGCCGGAAAGAGCAAAACUGUUAACUUUGUGUUCAAUGCCUGCAAGAGCUUGGGAGUUGUCAACUACAAUGCUUACAAUCUUCUGACAUCAGGCAGACACACUAUUAUGCUUGGAGAUGAUGUCGUCUCCUUCCCCAUUCAACUCAACAUUAAAGAGUGAAUUGUUAUUGUAAUGAACUCGGACUGGUCUUAGGCUCAUUGUGAGUAAAUAAUUAUUUAGUGGAAUAACCAGUAGGCUUGCUGCUGAUGCACCUCCUUUCCCUCUUCAGAUCAGUUUGUAACAGUAGCCAGUUGAGUUUCUUGAUUUCUAAUUUUCAUCCACUUCAUGUCUAUUUGAUCUUCUAUUGACGCUACACGAUUUCUAAACAAUUCCUCUUACCACUCGUAUAUUUUCUACUGAACUUUAUUACCGGAGGGGUGAUUUGAACUCAGGUGCAAGGAGGUGGGCACACAUCUGCUUACCACUCAUAAAUUCAAAAGCAUAUUUUGUGCUAAGAAAAUCAAUCUAAACCAAUGCAAAAUGCAUAUAUAUAUAUAUAUAUAUAUAUAUAUAUAUAAUUCCAAACGAGGUAGAAGUAGAACAGAACUCCAAAUUAAACAGUUCCAAAAUUUCUUGUAUGUACAAAAUCGACAAUUUUGAUGACUAACUAUGAAACCAAUGUUUGUGAAAUAAAAGUUUGGACCAAAUUAAGAAAUGUGGCCAGCAAUGACACAAUAGCAAUGUCUUUGAUCAAGUCAAUCUAGGUUCAAUUAACAGAGCCAAAGAAUUUGGUAAAUUAUAUGCAGUCUUGUCCAAGUGCUAUUUGUUUUACUCCUGUUUCUUGGCAUCAAACGCGCGUUUCCAUAGUUUUUUCAGUUUCCAAGCUAUUUCCUCGGCCAUUCAAAUAUUUCUUUUACAAUAUACUGACUGCUACUAGUCCAGAUUAUAUCUGAACUGGUAAGAUUUUGGGCGAGAUUUAAUGGCUGAGUCACUGAAGGUAUCCACAUAUCCAAAUUAAAUUUUAAAUGUGGAUUGUCUUCUUAAUCCUAUUGCAUAAUCACCAUCAAGUACAAUUAACAAUAAAACUAAAAUUUAUCAAUAAACUCACAUCCAAUAAUUUAAACGAAAGAGCAAAUAAUAACAGAAAUCGAAAAGGAAGUGAAGCUUACACUUCGGUUUGGAAGGGUAAUAAAGUGAAGGUGAUGUAGGGCCGGAUGAUUUUCAACGUGUUUUGGAUGGACCAAAAUAGAAGAAUUUUUUAAGAUUAUGCAGGAACUGGUUUUGAAGAGCUUUGGGACAUAAUUAGGUUUCUGUCAGCCCUCUAGGCUUCUGUUUCUCAUGAGUUCACGUGAAUUUCCAUCUCCUUAAUUAAUUUGGGUGGAUUGGAAGGCAACUUCCUUUUAGUUUGUGACUUUGUGUUUGAUUUCUAUUAAAUCAUAAAGGAUUGAACGGAAAGACGACAGACCUAGCGGAAGGAGGGAACGUCAGAGGAGAGAACAUAUGCUUUGAGUUGGUUUUUUAUAUUUUAAAUGGGUGUAAAGAUAAAAUUACAUAUUAAAUUGAGUUUGUGAUGAUAGUAAACUUUAUGUUUUGCUUAUGAGGGUAGGCUACUUCGACGGAAACCCUACUUUCAAAUCUCUUGGCAAGAAGGAUAUAUGCAACAAAGAACAUAUUGAGUUAGCCACAGAAGCAGCAAGAGAAGGAAAUGUUUUGUUAAAGAAUGCCAAUGAAACUGCCUCUGAACUCUGCUGAGUUUAAAACCCAGCUGUCGUCGGGCCUCAUGACAAUGAUACCAAGGUCAUGAUCGGAAACAUGGCUUAAGAAUGGACCUCCUAGGAAGCUGAUGCAACCAUAGUUUGGUGGGUUGGACUUAUCAGUUGAGGCAGAGGGCUUGGACACAGUGGACCUCCUGCUUCCUGGUUUCCAAACUCAACUUAUCAACCAGGUCGCUAGAGUCUACAAGGGUCCAGUAAUUCUUGUAGUCAUGUCUGCCGGUUGUGUUGACCUCAAUUUCGCCAAACAAAAUGAUUAAGUCAGAGACAUCUUGUGGGCAGGGUACCGGGGGAGGAAGGUUUCCUUGUCAUUGCAGAUAUUAACGGAUUAGGCAGGUGGUAAUUACAACUUAAGGACAGUGUCAGUGUCGUUUGAGCGGGGCUCCCUCAGGUCAGUCUAUCUAAAAUUCCAACAUCUACGUUUACCCAUUUGGUUAUGGCCUUAGCAACGCUUAAUUCAACUACACCCUAACAACUGUAGAUAAAUCGAUGAAUAUUUUGUUGAAACAAGACCCAAAACUUGCCACGAAAUUCAGUACGACGAUGAAGCACACAGACUAGCUUGCCCUGCAGUCCUCGUAGAUGACUUGUAUCACAACUGUACAAAUACCAAUCUCUACCAUAAAGUAUGGUUAAAAUCCUGCAUAUUUUCUAAGUAAAUCGUUAUUAGCACUUUAAAAAAGUUAUCAUGCACUUAUUUAGUCGUUCCUCUUUUAUUGUUCUAUUAUAUAACUGUGUACUGAUAACUUUUUUAGAGUGUGUGUUGCAUCUCCCUUUCUAUAUAAUAGUAAUAACACACCAGGUAUGCAAGAAUCGAUCUCUACGAGACAGAAUCUUGUUGCUAUGAUGAAAAUCAAUUUCUUCCAAUAUAACCAAAGAAUAGACUUUACCUUACAACUAAUAAGUAAUAGUUCCCAUGAUUACAUCCAACUGAGGAUGGCUUCCAUCCAAAUGUAAGAGCCAAGGAAACAUGAACACAAAAUUUCAGUAAAAAUUACAUUUUUUUUUUCUUUCCUUUGUUUCAAAAUAUUGAAGGGCGAGAUUGGGUGGAACAGAAAGUUUACUCCUUUGUGACUGAAAGGUCACGAAUUCAAAUCGUGAAAAACAUCUUUGCAAAACAAAAGUACAACUACAUACAACAGUCCCCCGACAAUCUCGUAAAACAGUAAGCCUUAUUAACUUAAGUCGCCCUUCCUUUCAAAACCUUCAAAAGUAAAUAAAGUAGAAUAUGGAUGAGCAAAAAGCCACCAUAACAGACGACCAAAAAAUAAAGUGAACUGCAAGAGAUGAUGGGCAGGGGAGUCCCAACUUGACCAAAAAUGAUCCCAAAGAGUGGGGCCAAAAAGGCACAAAAAUUAGAGAGCAAGAAGUAUGGGGGUAAGUGGGAAAAAAGUCUUCAAUGGUGCGCCACCAUCCCCAAAUCUUAUUGGAACUUCAAACAAAUGUACACGGAUGGGAGGAGGCAAUACCUCCGUCCAUCCUUGUCCCAACUAUUUCCAGCACCUUAAAAAGUUAAUAAAAAACCGAAUUGGAUCCUCUCCUGAGCCUAAAGAGAGGAUCUUCCUGAUCAAGAAAUGUGGAUCGUUAGAUUUUCAUUCAACGAUUAUAAUUAUUAUAACUUUAAAGGAACCCUUAUUUGUUGUAGCCGUUGGAUAAAAAUCCAACGGCUCACGUUCCUUGAUCAGGAGGAUCCUCUCCUUGGACUCAGGAGAGGAUCCAAUUCCAUAAAAAAAAAACCAUACAAAUUAAAGAGUAUUUGAAAAAAUUAAAAAAAAAAAAAAAGAAAAAAAAAAGACAGUGACACGGAAUUGAACAAGUCAUGCUCACAUAAAGCAACCAGUGAUCAUCAGAAUCUUGUAUAAAAAAGAGAGGAGUUUUUAACUGAAUCCAGCACCAAAUACAAACACGAAAGCUUAUUGGUUAUGAGGGAAGACGCAAGAAUUCACCUUACAUGCAUGAUCGCGAUGUUCGUGUUCCGGGAUUUCGAAUCGUUGAGUGUGAGAGCUAUGGAAAGGAGACAUAACAGCGACAUCACUGAUACGUCUUUGUGAUUCAUUCGACAGGGAUUAAACAGAGAUCGUUAUGGCUCGUUUGGUGCUCGAAUUGGAUUGAACUGGAUAACUAACAAAAUUUGAACCACGUUGAAAAAAUUUUGUCCGACUUGAAGGUAGACUAUUAAUUUUACAGACCAAAGAAGCUCAUCAUUUUCAAUCCCCACAAGAUUUUCGGAUUCCUUCAUUCAUCCCUUCUGAUCACCUCGAAAUAAAAAAUCAAUUCAUCUCCACUUUCAAUAUACGUUGAAUUUUUUUAAUUAUCUAAUUCAAUUCAAUCGCAAGACGAAUAUAAGCAAAAAUGGAACAUCAAUUAUAACUAACAGAAGCAAACUGAUUUAUUAACCAAGCGAGGGUGGCGAAAAUAGUGCAUAGUUACAUAGCAGUCGAUAGCUGCAACUUACCAUACGAAAUUAACUGAAAAGAAGAAAAUGAGCAUCCAUACUACAAAUCAAAGAGAAGAUCGGAAUACACUUCAGGAGCAGUACCAGAGAGCUCCGAAAUCAGAUUCGAGUGACAACAUGAGGGAUAAUCGCCUUCGUUCAAAAGAGAGGGGAGUGAUAAAAACAAGAGAGUGUACGUUCUUACCACCGUAGCUUCAAGUGCACAUUUAGUCGUUCAAAUUCUCAACUCCAAGCUUCUGCAGCUCAACCUUGAGAGAUUUCAAGUACUGAACAGCUUCGUCUAGAACGGCGACAGUGUUCAUUUCAUUCGCACCAGGAACAAUCCCUCUCAGCGCCCUCACCAUCUUCUUCAUUUUUUGGCGUUUCCUUUCACUAUUGCAGCUGCUACUGCUACCAAUGGCAGUAGAUUUUUCAAGUGAAGAACACAGCCUUUCCUUCUUGGUUUUCAAACCAUAACUGGAGCAAGAAUCAGAGAAUGAGCUCCCAUAAUUUCCACGAGUUCGUGCUGUACUGACCUCUUCCUCAUCAUAAUCUUCCAGCUCUUCCUCUUCCAGGCUCAACAAUGCAUCAAUAUCAUCGGAGUCCUCCUUCAGAGUAGACGAUGCUUCUCUAUUGUCAAUAUUUCCCUUGUUCAAUCCCAGAUUGUCUUGGAUGUAAGCUGCACAGAGGUUAAAGGCAGGACCAGUAAUUUUGUGGGAAAUUUCAGGAUUGAACAUAAUCUGACUUCGAUGAUCAGUCUGGUCGAAGAUAAUGAAAUUCUUCGGGCAGAUGCUAGAGGUUUGAAAUUCAACACCAUGGAAAGGUCUAAAGUGAUUUGCGUCAUUAGGUAAAACUGCCCCACACCCAGAAGCAACUGGAAUAUGCAUGUAAUUAUUACCCACUUGAUUUGAAAACGGCGGAGCUGCCUUGUUGGGGUCAAAUUGCUGGUCACUCUGCAUCAGAAAUUCUAAGUAAUUAAAGCUUAACAGACGGCGUUUCAACUGAAGUGUCAGAUUCUUUGACUUCUAACUGGAUGAAGGUUCGCAAAGAUAAUACAAGAACUGUUUACAAAUCAAGUUAUUUCCAUUUUGGUCACGAGAGCCACCUAUUCCCAACCAAAAGCAACCACAACAACUACAACUGCCUUCUUAUGUAUAAAUACCGCAAGAGUGCCAGUUUAUACCAAAUCCCCGAGUCCAGAGGGCUUUUGAUAUAAUACUACGUAACAGGUUUAAGCAACUGACGGAAAUAUUCAGCCUGUGAGAGCAAAGAAAGAGGAUAUCAACAAAUUUGUUUUAACAUCUUGAUAGUGGUACAAUCAAGCAUGCAAGUCAAGAACAAUCAUUUGAAUGCAUAUCAAUACGUAGUCCUGGUAAAGACAGCAAACAUGUUUUUCCAUUGAAUUUAAUAACUACUUAAUUACUGCUUGGGAAAUGGGAAUAAUAGUUAAAUAAACUAGUAUCCUGCCCGCAGCUCACCCAAAUUUGUAAAGUAUGCCAAUAACUAUGGAAUUCCAAAUGAAAUCGAAUUGACAAUUUUAUUUCAUGCUUAAUGUAAGUGAAUUCCGCGGAAAGAAGUAUUAUUGCAAUCAAUCGAAGCUGAAAGAAGAUGAACAACAACAUAAUGCCACGGCAGGGAAACAAGAAUAUCAGAUGUACCUGACAAACUUGCAUCUGGUGAGAGUAGGCAAUUACCCCAACACUCAUUAAAAUCUUCCCAACUUCCUUUAUAGCUCGAUAUUUCUUUACGUUUACCCCAAUGUUCAUUCUCACUCUUCCAACCAGCCCUAAAAAUCACCAAAUAAAAGGAUCCUUCGAAAACAGAGUUUCACCUGCAGCAGUCGAUCCACAAAGCCGCAUUGUUAGAAUGAGACUGAAAGAGCAAUUCGAAACCGAACUACAAUGCCACAUUUGAUAAGAAGUACAGACACAUCAACUUGUCCCCAAUAACUUAAAGCACAAAGGAAUCAACGAACUGACGUUUUUGUUCUACAACAAUCAAACAAUUAAAAUAAACACAUAAGAAAAUCAUUCGGUUUCCUCUAAAAAAUCAGUAGCAAGCCCGUAGAGGAAAUCGGAUACACUGGAGGUAAAUGCGUAAUCAAGUUUCCAUUUUUACACAAAAUUACUUGAUCCUGUCAGCCGAAUCAACAAGGCAAGACUAUCUUGAACAAAGCAAAUGAAGGCACAAUAAACUGCAAUACAGAAUGUGUGUAAUCUCACCAAAGUGAAGCAAUUUACAGUAUGACACGGAAGAACACCACCAAGCGAACGCAGUUCCUGUUGUAAUUCACAAAAGAAGACGUCCACGGCAUCUUGAUUUUAUUUCUUCAAUGCCAAAUUAAUAGUAAAUCUUCUCAAUCUUCCGCUGGGAAAAACUAAAUGGAAACAAAAUCCCAAAGUUAAUCAAAUAUUAUCCAACAUUUAUGCCUUCACACCAGUCACUUAACACAAUAAACACACAAAUAAAGAUAAAUUUGCCUAAUCAGAAAACUGCAAAGAAAAAAAAAUCAAAUUAAAAUAAUUUAUUAAUUUGAGCAGUUUCCUAGCAACAUAAACAGAAGCUAAUUACACAGAAACACUCAGAAAAUAAAAAAUUACUUAAACAAUUAAUCCCAAUUCAAAACCCUAGAUUAUGGAUCCAAAACAAACCAAAUCAUUCAUUUAUAUUAUAUCAUCCAGUGAAUCAACAGGAACUACCUCAAAAGCAAACAAAUCAACCUUCAAGCCCCUCAAAAACCACAACCCACAAAAAAUUACAGCAGAAAAAAUGUAAAGGUAAAAACUUUCAGAGCAAAACCUAGGUUUUAAGAAGAAGACAGAAGAUUUGAACCAGAUUAUCGAUUGCAGAAGAUCAGAUUUCGGAUUUGGGAAAUGAGUACUUUUCUCUGAGCAAAAAUUUCCCUGGAUACGCGCUGCUGAACAAGAUCUACCACUACUGGCUCUGAGAGAGAGAGAGAGAGUGUGUGUCUGAGAGAGGAGAGAGAGAGAGAUAGAUGGGAGGGCGUGUUUGGGGAGUGGUGGGUAUUUAAUUUUGGGGUUUUCGUUGGGAUGUGUGAAGGGACCGAGACAGAGAGGAGUCAAACACGGAGCGUGUGAGCCGUCGGAUUGGGGGCCUUGGAAAUGCUUUCCGUCUAUUGCGGAUGCAAUGAUGCCCGUCGGAUGGAGCACGCGUGCAGGGGCAAUGUGGGGCCCCUUCUCGAGGUUUGACGAAUGCGUACGUAUCGUGGAAAAAUGACUCCUCUACUCUUUGCCCGUGUGAAUGCUCCAUUUGCCUUUAUUUAUUACCCCCUACUCUCUUCAAUUAUGCUUUCCAUAAUUUUGCUUUUGCUUUAGUUAGCUCAAAAAAAAUUGGGCAAAAAUAAUAUUAAGAAAUUAAACGAUAAACUAACAAGUUUUCAUUUAUAAUUUUUAUGCAAACAAUAUUAUAAGCCACUAAGAUUAAAUUUGUCCACGACAAGAUUUUAUAUUAUGAAAAUGUGUCAAGAUAGUUUAAUUGUCAAUACAGGAAAAAACGUAUGUUUCAGUAUAAAAUACUAAACUAUCAUUUAACCAUUCCGAAUUAGAGUGGAACUAUUCAAAAUAGGAUUUCCGAACUAUUAGGUGAUUUUCGUUUGUACUAUUGUUCCAUACUUGUAAUUUCUACACAUCAAUUAAUGAAAAACAAAAAUCAUAUUCACGAAGCUAAAAUAAUAUAAACUAAUCAAUAUACCAUAAAAUCAAUGUCAGAAAACUUAUAAAAUUGCAUCCCAAUAAUCAUACUAUAAUAUAUUAUGAAUCUAAAAUAUUCAACAAAUACACAUCAACUUUUAUGUUUAACAUCCUAUAUUAUUAAUUUAAAUUAAUAUUAGAAAAAUUACUUUAAAUUUGAAAUUAGAGAAUUAGGUGAUGUUGGAAAGAAGUGUACCAGGUGGUGGUGGUCUGGUGGGUGGCGAAGUUGAGAGAGGUGGAGCAAGUGGUGGUGGCGACCUGGUGGGGAUGAAUAGGGAAUCAAUGGAAAAAGAGAAUAGGGUUGGGGAAUUUUCAAUUAGGGGUCUGUAAAAAAAUUGGGAUUCGUUGGGAUUUAUUUAUGACUUGUUAAUAAUUAAAUUAUAUUGUUGUUUAUAAAUUUAACUCCUAUCUGUGUCUGUGUGUUUUCUUUUUUCGUUUUUGUGUUGCAUGUGAUAUUUUUGACGAAUUUAUUCAUACGUGAAUACGACCCCUCAAGCUCAAGGUACAUGAAUGACGAGGGAAGAUGGCGAUGUGUGUGUCAAAUUGUUAAUUCGUGGCAAUAUAAUUGGCUGCCAAGUGGCAAUAAACUUCUAGUUCUAAACCACAUACCAAACUUUGAUGAAUUGACAGAAGUGGAAUAAAAUCCAUGUACUAUUAUAUGUCACGCUUUAUCUACGUAAACAAUGGUCGGAUCGGAUGGAUGAUAUUAAUAAGUGGUUUUACAAGUAAAAACAAAAUUCAAAUUACUUCUGAGUUUGUGUUUCUUGUAAGGUGGUGAUGUUAGAGAGAUUAUCUGCUUGAAUAAUAUCAAAAAUGGGUUUAAAAAGAAAACUAAACACAAAACUUCAAGUGCAUGAAUGAAUUAAUACUUUCAACAUAUGAGUUGAGGUACAAGCUGCUUGAUCUCAAUACUAGACUUUAAAAUUAAUACAAGUAUUUUCUUCAUUUAAUUAUGUAUUUUGAUUUUAUCUUACUUUUUCUUUAUAAACUAUAGUGUUAAUUAGUUAAAUUGUUAGUUGGUAGGGAAUAAGAGGAUAGGUGGGGAUCGAACUCACGCCAGACUACAUAGACAUAAUUGCUUUCCGUUAAUGCAGUAAAACGCAAUAUGCUUGAUUUUAUGUUACUUAUUUCCCUGUUUGUUUUUCAAUGUGUAUCACUAAGUUAAGUCCAACCGAAUCUUGUUACAUAAAUAUCAAGCUAAGUCAAGCAACUCAUCCCAAAUACAAGCCGAGUUGAGACACAGUGACAAACUCAUCAUACUCAUACGUUCUAGCAAAGUUUAAGCAGUACUAAUCAAUCUCUGCCUCUGGAUUUCAACACUUCAACUAAGCUCAAGCUUCGGAGAUUAACAGUCGAAUCAAAUUAUAGCUAAGGUACAGUCCACAGUCCCCACAAUUGGGACAAAUUUAUUAGACUACAAAAGAAGCAAACACGAUAACAGAAAAACGCUUUGAUAGUCUCAGACAUAGACGCAAUCACCCAAACCUGCGGUAUAUAACAAGCACGUUUUGUUAGAAUCAUAGCAAUGAGGUAAAGGAAAAAAUAAAAAUACAAGAUAUGCAGUGUGUUAUGCUAAACAAAUUGGCUUACUUGGAUUCGUCACGACGACUUGGCCAGCACCGUUGAAGUCGCAAUUGUAUUGUCCGUCAGCCUUAUAGUAAAGAUUCAUGGCAAAUGAGGCAUGGCUUAUCAGUGUAUUUGGCAAAAAACAUGAACCAUGUUCUUGUAUCUUGCUGCAAUCUUUUAGUACUCCACAAGCGAAGUCAAUGAUUUCCUGCAACGCAGGAUCUGGGAUUCCUGGCUUAGCCACACACCAAGUGUCCUGCAAACCCAAAAAAACAUAUUAACUGUUUGAAUGAUUUAAGAUUUUGGUUUAAAUGAGUUAUGUUUUUGUGAGGGAGAAAUUAGGUUUGAUUAAUUACCUUUUUCUGUGGCAGUGGAGGUCCUGAUCCUCCUGCCAAAUACAAGGGAUAAGAAAGCACAAAUAUAAAGAGAUACAAAUAUUAUUUACAUACGAAACGUAAAGGAAAAUACUUGGCUCUACCCAUGGACGAAGCCAUUCUUACUUACAUGCCAAUCAAAGAUGAUAUCUGUGGCAAAAAAAAAAUUCUUUUCGUGUUUUUAUCAAAUUUUAUUUUGCAAUGGAUCAAAUUGUGAAUUGCACGUAGAAGAAUGAUUUAUCCUGAGGAGCCGAGAAGUGUCAAAAUGUAUAACUUGUUGAAAACACAUACCGCUCACAAAUGUGCAGCUGGCAUAAUAACCUGCAACAAUAUGGUAUAGCCUUAAAACGUUUAAUUAAUUUGUUGGAAAUAAACUUUUAAAAUUUGAAACAAAUUAAAUUGUUUGUAUUUGUUUAAUUAAAUUAUAUGAAAUUGAAAUGGCCUACUUGGAUCAGUCAAGGAAAUGAGACCAGUAUUGGUGAAAUGGCAAUUCCAUUGCUUUCUUCCCAUCUUUUGGUAGUAAGCAUUCAUGGCGUAUGAGGCAUGGUGCACUGAUGUAUCUGGAUAAAAGCAACAGCCUCCUUUCACUGUUGGGGUGCAGUCUACAUAACUGCAUGCAUAAUCCACUGCCGAAUGUAGGGCUUCUUCUUGUGCUGCAGGAUUUGCUACACACCAAGCAUUCUACAAAACCAUGCAGAUUAAUUAAAUUGUAAUUAAAUUAAUCUAAGUAUUUGUUGAUUGUUAUGAAAAUAUGGUUUCAGCUGGCUUAAUUACCUGUGCAUUCACCACCAUGGAUAUCUCUCCUGCAAAAAAAAUUGAAGUUAAGGAUUAUAAUUAAGCUAUUUUGCUGAGAAAGGAUUAUAAUUAGGGAACUUUAACGAAAAGUUCCCGGUACUGUUCAUUUUAACAAAAAACUACAUUUUUAUACUAAAAAAUUAAUCCUGAUACUAUUCACUUUGCCCUUUAUUUUGUCCUUAUCGUUAAAACUCAAAGUUUUCAAAUUAUUUUCAUUCAUUUUCCUUUAUAAUUAUUAGUUUGGGCAAAACACUUUUUUAGUCCUUUCACAAAGUCACACUUUCGUUAUAUUUACCAUUACAUUCAAUUUGGUAUCCGAUGGCAUCCGACAAUUCCGUUAAUUUCUUGUAGGAAAUCGUCAUGCACUUGGCAGAUCAGAGGUAAAUUUGACGGAUUUCAUACAAGAAAUCAACAGAAGUUGAUGGAUGUGCUCAAAUUCGAAAAAAUUAAAGCUACAGGGACCAAAUUCGUCGCAAUUGAAAACCAUCUAUGAAAAUGUAACCUUAUGAAAACUAUAGGAACUAAUUAGCUAAGGGCCGAGACGAAAUGAUCAAAAAACCAAUUUCAGAUUUUGAGAGAGUGCAGAAAAAGGGGAAAUUUACAAAUGUAAAAUGCUGCAUAGAGUUAAGAAAAUAAAAAGGAUCAAAACUAGUUUUGCAGAUUAAGAUGGAAUUGAAGAAUCUUGAUCAUACCUGAGAAGACGAACAGAAGAAGGAUAGAAAUAAUAGGAGACAGUACAGCUAACUCAGCCAUUUUUUCUGUACUAUGUGAACUAGUACUCUAACUCUGUGAUAUGGAAUUCAUGAAGAGGGAAGAUAUAUGGGGUAUUUGUAGCAGUUACAAUCUCAUAUGCUCCAUUUAGUCCAGAUUGCACAUGAAGGUUGGCAUGACAGUACUUUGAGGCCACCUGUUGCACAUUUCUUUGUUCUUUUCUUGGUCAAACGGCUUUUUUAAUCGGUUACUAGAUAUUACAAUAACCAAGGGUCCAUUUUUUUCUUUAUGUUGUGCCCUUUUUUCUUUAAUACUAGUGCAGUCUUAGGGGUGUAUUCAAUUGGGAUUUUGAGGGAUUUUAAUUCUUUUAAUGAAUCUAGGGGCAUUCAAUCAGGAUUUUAAGUGAUUCUCUGAAAUUCAAGGUGUAUUCAAUUAGAAUUUUAAGAUAGUUUAUUAAAAUCCUUAGAAAUCCGGGUGUAUUCAAUUAGAAAUUGAUUUUAAAGAAUUUGAGAAAGUUGAGGAAUUAGAGGGAAUUGGAGAGAUUUUGUAGUGUAUUUUAAGUAUCCACAAAUCUCACCUAUUCCCAUGAGAUUUCGAGGGAAUUGAAUCAAAAUUUUAUAUGAAAUCUCUACAAAUCAAUUAAACUCCAUAAAAAUCCAUGGAUUUAUAAAUCCAUUAAAAUAUCUCAAAUUCUCAAUUAAAUACACCUAUGUCAAAUUAAUUACUUGUUCAAGGCUUCAAGCUAUCUCAUUUAUGAAGAGAAUUUGAGCAAAUUUGCAGACUUGGAUAGAAUUGGGAAAGCAUUCCUUUUUAAGACAGCUAAUUAUAAGAGAUAACGUUCUGGAAUUGUGGCAUGCAUACAGGUGGAUAGCCUGCAUGCACUGCAACCAGUAGUAAGUGUGGAUGCAAAUUUCCGUCUUCUUCUUCGUGGACAAAAAUGCGCCUGCAAAACAAUGAACACCUUAGGUCAAGGCCAAGAGAAUCACGCACCCAAGAUAAAUUGGGGGGCGCGGGGGGGGGAGCUUUGGCCGAAGAACCUCUGAUGCCAAAGUUAGAAUUUGAGAGAGAGUGUUUAGAGAAAUUUGGAGAAUUUUAUAAGAGAAUUGGACUUAGUUUUUUGGAGAAAUGAGGUGGUAUUUAUAGGGGUGUGGCCGGCCCCCUUUGGAGAGAUGGGAACCGGCCACAUAUGAUGGUUUUUGGGUGUAAUUGCAAGAUAUUAUGUCAAAAUAAUAUCUUGCAAUUAAUUAGGAAAUUAAUCAAUUAAUUUAGGGAAUUAAUCCUAUUUUAAAUGAAUAAUUGAAGGUUACCUUGUGGGGAGGAUUUGAUGAGGAUGGACGAAAUAGGUUUUGAAUAAUACCUAUUUUGAUCACUGUUGACCUUGAUUAUGCCAUGAUUGUCCGCUGCUUGUGUGUAGAAGUUCCGGUGUUCCUCGAGGAUAAUAUUGUCUUUUUAACCCAAAAGUACACGUGUCUUCUCCAUAAUUUUCCUGAUUAUAUUUUACUCCAUAGAAAAAAACAGGUGGUUAUGCCUCUAGUGAUCAUAGGGAAACAAUGGGGCAUAUAUAUACCGAGCAACUUGACAUAGUAUUAAUAUAAAUCUCCUGAUGUCUAUGCUAGAUGAGACAUGACUAUCAUAGAACCUGAAAAAUAUGAAGAAGCAAGAUGGAAGUUGAAAUGUCCAUGAUUGAGAAUUAUCAGACUCCACUUGGUGUUAGUAGAUAGGCCUUUUGACAAACUCUAUAGUUGGUGUCAAAUGGGUUUUAAUUUGGAUGGUACAAUUCAGAAGCAUAAGGACAGACUGGUAGUUAAGGCUACUAUUAUAUCAACUUGAUGUAAAGUCUUUUUUAAUGGAGUUCUACAGGAGGAAGUCAAUGUAGGGCAACCUGGGGGUUUUGUGAUUACAGGGGAUCAGUGAGUAGGUUUAUAACUGAAUAAGGCUCUCGAUUGUCUGAAGCAAGUACCAAGGACUUGGUAUGAAGAAAUCAAAUCUUAUUUGCUCAAUUGUGGUUUUCAUAGAAGUCCAAGUGAAGCAAAACUCUAUAUCAAAUUCAAAGAUGCAGAAUCACUCACUGUGUCAAUUUAUGUAGAUGACUUUGUGUAUACAGGAAGCAGCAAUGAACUAAUUGCAGAAUUCAAAGAAGAACGAUGAGAAGAUAUGAGACUGAUCUUAGCUUGUUAUAUUAUUUUCUUCGCUUGAAAAUUGUGCAAUCUGAGCAUGUCAUCUUCAUAAAUAAAAAGAAAUCUGCUCUAGCCUUAUUAGAGAAGUUUGGAUUAAAAGAUUGCAAGCAUAUAGAAAAUAAAUGGUGGGUUUUGAUGGGGAGGAACAAGGAAAGUAGAGAAACCUAGUAUACCUCUUGUUGUCAAUGAUUAAUCGAUAGAGUUGCCUCCUCCUAGUCGUAAGAUCACAAGAUGAAUUUUCUGUUGGAUUUUGUGGCUCAAUACUUCUUGGGCCUUUAGUUUUUUGUCUCAAGCCCAAAUAGGUUUGGCCUUUUGUUACCCAUUUGAAAGCCACAUGGCAGCUAGGGUUUAAUUAAAAAGGCACCAGAUUUAUAUAAGGAAAUUCAUGCCUUUUGGUCAGAAGACAAGCUGCAGAAAAGCAGCAGAAAGGUAGCAGAAAAGAAAGUGCAGCCGAAAGCAAGAAAAAAAGAGAAAAGGCAGCAAUGAUGAAAUUUGUUAGGAUGUUGGCUCAGGGAAGAAAAGUCAAAAGCUUUUAUUUUGGUAUUUUCAAGGGCAGCAGCUGCUAUAUGUUUGAGGAGAAGCCGAGAGAAGGGGAACGGCAGAUUAGAGAGAAGUAAGAGAAAGGUUGCUGUUUUCUAUUCUUCCUAUUUGUUUGUAAUCCCCUUUGUUAGUGAUCACUCAAUCAAAGAUAUUUGUGCUACAUGUUGUGGCUUUUGGGAGAGAAGGAAUUAGAUAUGUGUUUCUUCUUCUCCAUUUGUUUCUUUGUUUGAGUGAGAGCUAUUGGGUGUAUGUGGGAUUUGGGUUUGAGAGUUAAAACUCUAUUUGUAAUCUCCUUUGAUAUUAGUGGAAUUUCCUCGCCGUCUCGGAACUGGACGUAGGCUUACGCCGAACCAGUAUAAAUCCUUGUGUUCUUUGGAUUAUUUGUCUUGUCAUAUUUUACCGUAUUAGCUUAUUGGUUUCAUAUUUGACGCUUCCGCACAACAAGUGGUAUCAGAGCUCCGGGUUUCGACUUGGGGCUUUGUACUAAUAUGUCUAUGAAACCUUCGAAUAUGUCGGUGAAAUAUGAUAUUGAAAAAUUCAAUGGGAGGAAUGAUUUUAGCCUGUGGCGGGUUAAGAUGCGAGCUGUGCUAGUUCAACAAGGGUUGCUUAAGGCGGUAUAGGGUGUGGAAGCCUUGCCACAAGAUUGGUCUGCUGAAGAAAAAGAAGACGCUUUGAAUCGAGCACAUAGUGCAAUUAUGUUAUCACUAUCUGAUGAAGUUCUUCGUGAGAUGGAAGAUGAAACUACUGCAGCUGGUUUGUGGCUUAAGUUGGAGAGUAUAUACAUGACCAAAUCCCUCACCAAUCGUUUGUAUUUGAAGCAACGUUUGUACACUCUCCGUAUGACUGAAGGUACACCUAUUCAAAACCAUCUUGAUGAGUUUAAUAAGGUUAUUAUGGAUUUGAAAAGUAUGGAUAAUAAAAUUAAUGAUGAGGAUCAAUCUUUGAUUUUGUUGUGUUCUUUACCUCCUUCGUAUGCGAAUUUUGUUGAAACUUUGUUAUAUGGGAGAGAUUCUAUUUGUAUGGAGAAUGUAAAAGCCGCUUUGAAUUCAAGAGAGUUAAAGAACAAAGUAUUUGGAAAUUUGAAUGAUUCUCAUUCUGAGGCUUUGAUAGCAAGAGGCAGAGAUAGGGAAUAUGGUUCAGGGAGUAAUAAAGGAAAUUGAGAUCGAAGUCUAAGACCAGAAACAACACAUGCAACUAUUGUCGCAAGGAAGGGCAUUGGAAAGUUGAUUGCCCAAAACUGAAAGAUAAUGUUGGUGCGAGUGCGAAUGUCGUCGAUGACGACUUCGACUUUGUUCUAUGAUGACAGUUGGCUACACCAGAUUUGAAAAAAAAAAGAAAAAAAAAAAGAAAAAAAAAAGAAAAGGAAUCUGAUGUUGUGGGUACUCUUAAAUCUCUCUGCUACAUAUGGAGAUUUAAGAGUUUGUAAGGAUUCUGUGUUAUGAUUUGAGAAAGUUGCUUAGUAGCCUAUAUGUAUGUUUGUGUUAUGUCAGUUGCUCUUCAUCGGUGUUUUUAUUGUUUUGGAUAUUGGUAUGGUUUUUUUUUUUUGGUAAAGUUGAAUUCAGUGAGGGUCAAUUUGUUAAGUUCUGCAAGUUUGGAUAGUGAGACACCACACUAUUUUGGAGACACCACAUGCAUUGCAGAACAUUUGUGUGGAACCCUCUUGUAGAAGGCAAGUUAUAUGCUUUCUAACUUUGUUUGGUCUAUGGACAUUUGGUUGGAUUUGUUUGCCACUGCUAUUUGGUCUGUUGGUCUCCAUCAUCUGCAAUUAGUUUUCUUGAAGACUUCAGUUGAGGUAUGGUUUUGGAUCUCCUGCUGAUUAUUUGAAUUUGAAAUUUUGGUUGUCCUGUUGGUGCUCAUGUGAUGAUGGUAAACUUGAGUGAAGGGCAUAUUUUUGUAUGUGGUAUGUGAGACUUUGUUGCCAAAUUUGUAAUCAGUUUUGACUUGGAGAAUAUGCCAUACUAUGUGAAUGAGUCUAUUGGUGCAGUUUCAGACCAUGGUGUGUUUGUGAGCAGGUGGAGUUCGUUGUGUGUGUCCAACUUUGGUAUGAUGUGCUUGAUCUUUUGUUGGUGAUAUUGAAGAAUUUCAGUUCUUCGUUUGAAUCACUUUUGUUUUGAUCAAGGCACUUAUGGUUUGCAAAUUUGGAGAAGACGGUAGAGAAAUGUUCACUUUCGUUGGCUUUGGUACAGUUUGAGUCGAGGUGGAAAUUGUUAUGAGUACCGGAAAGUUUGGUGAAUUUGAUUUAGCUUCCGUUGUCUGUAAUUCGUAUUUUGGGUGCUUAUGAUGAUUGUUGAGUCAACUCUGAGUUGCUUUCGGGAAUUUCGCCAAGGUGGAGAUUGUUGGAUUUUGUGGCUCAAUACUUCUUGGGCCUUUAGUUUUUUGUCUCAAGCCCAAAUAGGUUUGGCCUUUUGUUACCCAUUUGAAAGCCACAUGGCAGCUAGGGUUUAAUUAAAAAGGCACCAGAUUUAUAUAAGGAAAUUCAUGCCUUUUGGUCAGAAGACAAGCUGCAGAAAAGCAGCAGAAAGGUAGCAGAAAAGAAAGUGCAGCCGAAAGCAAGAAAAAAAGAGAAAAGGCAGCAAUGAUGAAAUUUGUUAGGAUGUUGGCUCAGGGAAGAAAAGUCAAAAGCUUUUAUUUUGGUAUUUUCAAGGGCAGCAGCUGCUAUAUGUUUGAGGAGAAGCCGAGAGAAGGGGAACGGCAGAUUAGAGAGAAGUAAGAGAAAGGUUGCUGUUUUCUAUUCUUCCUAUUUGUUUGUAAUCCCCUUUGUUAGUGAUCACUCAAUCAAAGAUAUUUGUGCUACAUGUUGUGGCUUUUGGGAGAGAAGGAAUUAGAUAUGUGUUUCUUCUUCUCCAUUUGUUUCUUUGUUUGAGUGAGAGCUAUUGGGUGUAUGUGGGAUUUGGGUUUGAGAGUUAAAACUCUAUUUGUAAUCUCUUUUGAUAUUAGUGGAAUUUCCUCGCCGUCUCGGAACUGGAUGUAGGCUUACGCCGAACCAGUAUAAAUCCUUGUGUUCUUUGGAUUAUUUGUCUUGUCAUAUUUUACCGUAUUAGCUUAUUGGUUUCAUAUUUGACGCUUCCGCACAACAUUUUCCAUUUUAGAAUUCUUAAUGGUGUGAAAUACUCUGAUUCUAUGGCGGAAUUCAUGAAAUGGAAAUGAAGGUUAACAUUUCAAUUUUUGUAUACAUCUUUGUCUAAUAAUAAUUGUCAACUCUCUGGCUGCUGGAAGGUGUUGUUGAAUAUGAAGCUUGCAUCACCGGAACUUAUACUUUAUGAUUCAUAUCAGUUUAAGUUGGGGAUUGUUUGGGAAAUGGAUUUUCUUAAACAUAGGAUAUUUAUCAAGUACGUUAGCAGCACAAAUUACCGACGCCACGACGGAUCAGUCUGCUCUGGUUGCUCUCAAAUCCCAUAUCACCAAUGAUCCACAAAACAUCUUGACAAUCAACUGGUCCGCUACUACCUCCGUUUGCAGUUGGGUUGGCGUUACUUGCAACCUACGCCACCAUAGAGUCAUGACCUUGAACCUCUCUUUCAUGAUUCUCACUGGAACCAUUCCACCAAAUCUAGGAAACCUUUCAUUUCUUGUUAGGUGGAGCCUCAGAAAUAACAGUUUCCACGGUACCUUGCCUCAUGAAUUAACCCGUUUACGCGGACUGAAGUUGAUUAUCUUUACAAACAACAACUUUACGGGAAAUAUUCCACCAUGGUUUGAGUCCUUAUCCAAGCUUCAAGCCUUCAGUUUAGAUGGCAACCAGUUUUCAGGUUCUAUACCCACUGCUAUCUGUAACUUACCUGCACUGCAACUAAUUAUAAUGGAAUUGAGGGAAAAUCAGCUGUCAGGUAAUGCCUAGCUAGCUUAACAACCAUCAAGAAUUAAUUUAGGAAAAAGUAGGAUCUAGUCCCUUGUUGUCGCUAAUGUUUAUAGACUCAAAUCUUAUUGGUUUUCAGUUUUUAUUUUUUAUUUUUUAUUUUUUUAUUAUCAAAGUCAUAGUUCCAUGUCAUCUUUUUUAUUUUUUUACAACAAAUUUUAAUUUAUAAUUUCACCCACAUGAUCAUGUUCAAAAGGUUGAAUAACUUUUGUAGCUGAAAAUCCCAAAAUUCUCUCACUCAAAUUUAUAUUUAUAUUCAAAUUCAAGAUUAUUAUACGGAAUAUGUAUCUUCAAAUUUAAAUUUUGCCAAAAUUUUUUCAAACUUAUUUUUUCUCCAUGACCAUCUUAUUGCAAAAUCAUAACAAAUGACCAUUAUAUUGCUAUGAACGCAAUUUUAAUUUUAUUGGGUACAGUCUCUUCUCUUGUUCCUUAAUCCAUGUACCCAACUUUUAUUCUAUACUACCAUUGUAACUUUUUCUUCUAAAUUGUUUUAUACCCAUUUAUAACUUUUUCUUAUAAAAUUUAUAUAGUAUGUACCCUUAUGUAAUAUGGUCUUAUGGUUUGCUUCCAUUUUUCUAUCCUUUAAUCAUUUUUUACAUUAAGAAUUUAUAUUGGUACAAUUAAUGUUUUUUUUUUGUCACAAAUGGAUUUUAAUAUUUGAAAUUGUAUAUGGUACAUUCUUAUGAAUUACUAUAAUUGUACAUUGGUACAUUCUUAUGGGAACAUGCAUUUAUCUUUUAUCAUGACAUUUUUUCUUCUUAUUAAUUUACAACUACUAUAAAAAAAAUAAACACGCAAUUGCUUGAACAAUGUGCUCUGCUUCGAAUCACUUAACCCUGUAAUUUUUUUUAAAUAAUAUUUUAAACAAUAUUAAUUUAUGUACAAAUUUACUUAACUUAUAUUUGUUGCUGUGAGAUUAAAUUCACCGCCUUCCUUUAACGUAGGUAGUAUCGUUUGUUACAAAAAUAAAAAAUAAAAACUCGUAAUUGCUCUCUUCUCGUAAUUCAGAACAGAUUAAAGAUUGUCCGAAAAAAUAUUGAUAUAUUGAAAAAAAAUAGAAAUUUACUCCAACAUCAACAAAUUUUCCACGCUCAAAUCCACACUCAAACAAAAGGGACUCACAACAAGUCUUCAAUUCUUCUCAUACUCUCACUCACUUUCCGGGAACAAAGUUUGUGGCAUAGUUCCAGGCAUUGUUGGCGACUGGGUCCGCAAGGUGGUCGGCAAGGUUCUCCAAUGGUCCCUUACCGGUGACAAUGGCCUGCACAAAGAAUCCGAACAUGGAGAACAUGGCCAACCUUCCAUUCUUGAGCUCCUUCACCUUGAGCUCAGCAAAAGCUUCUGGGUCGUCGGCAAGACCCAAUGGGUCGAAGCUUCCGCCGGGGUAAAGUGGGUCGGUCACCUCUCCGAGGGGGCCGCCGGCAAUUCUGUAUCCCUCAACUGCGCCCAUCAACACCACUUGGGUAGCCCAGAUGGCCAAGAUGCUCUGUGCAUGGACCAAGCUAGGGUUUCCCAAGUAGUCGAGACCGCCCUCGCUGAAGAUCUGGGCUCCGGCCUUGAACCACACGGCUUCGCCGAACUUGACACCGUUGCGGGACAAGAGCUCUGGGAAAACGCAUCCAAGAGCUCCGAGCAUGGCCCAUCUGGAGUGGAUCACUUCGAGCUCACGGUUCUUGGCGAAGGUCUCUGGGUCAGCUGAGAGUCCGGCGGUGUCCCAGCCGUAGUCACCGGGGAACUCGCCGGUGAGGUAGCUUGGGGGCUCACCGGAGAAUGGCCCCAAGUACUUGACUCUGUCAGGGCCGUACCAUGGGCUGCCAGAGGAGACUUUUUUGGUAGCAGUUUUCCUCAUGGACACUCUUCCGUUUCCAAAAAGCUCGGUGGCUCCCGGGGAAAGUUGCACGGCUUUGCCGGCGAAGGUUGGGGAAGAGAGAGCCAUGGAAGCUGCCAUUGCAAAACAAAUGUGAUACUAGUAGAAUGAUAAACCAGUUAAAGGAAGAGAGGAUGAUGGGUGGUUGUGAUUGGCUUCAUGGCUUAAAUAGGACAGUGCCCUUAUCCUAGAAAAUCAAUAGCUUUACUCUCAUUGGUUGUGACAUUCUGAAGUUCGAUUUUUCUUGUCUAGUUGGCAGUGGCACCCUCUACCACCAGUAGUACCAACAGUCGCUAGAUUAUACAGUUUGUACUGGUGUUUGAAAAAUCUCAAGACAAUAAUGCAUGGGUACCACUAGUUUGUCCAAUCGGACAGUGCCACUUGUCCAAUUGGAUAGGCUUUCUGUGCUCGGAGAUAGUAGAGGAUUUCCUCUGUAGGACCAAACCCUAAUUCUACCAUGCAACUGUACACCUCCGUAUUUCCAAAUUCUGGACCUCUCAGAACAUUGCUGCAUUGCUAGCCAUGAAUGAAUGAAGUCACUUAUAAUUCUAAACAAAUCGUAUGUUUCUUAUGUACAAUGCAUCAGUUGUCUAGACUUGAGAGAUUUU